AUUGAACGCUAGCGGGAUGCUUUACACAUGCAAGUCGAACGGCAGCGCGGACUUCGGUCUGGCGGCGAGUGGCGAACGGGUGAGUAAUGUAUCGGAACGUGCCCAGUAGCGGGGGAUAACUACGCGAAAGCGUAGCUAAUACCGCAUACGCCCUACGGGGGAAAGCAGGGGAUCGUAAGACCUUGCACUAUUGGAGCGGCCGAUAUCGGAUUAGCUAGUUGGUGAGGUAACGGCUCACCAAGGCGACGAUCCGUAGCUGGUUUGAGAGGACGACCAGCCACACUGGGACUGAGACACGGCCCAGACUCCUACGGGAGGCAGCAGUGGGGAAUUUUGGACAAUGGGGGCAACCCUGAUCCAGCCAUCCCGCGUGUGCGAUGAGGGCCUUCGGGUUGUAAAGCACUUUUGGCAGGAAAGAAACGUCGCGGGCUAAUACCCCGUGGAACUGACGGUACCUGCAGAAUAAGCACCGGCUAACUACGUG
rnacentral:rRNA from 1 species